rnacentral:tRNA from 1 species
GGUGAUGUAGCUCAGUGGUAGAGCACUUGCCUUGUACAAGUGAGGUGUUGGGUUCAAUCCUCAGCACCA